AUAUCAAUAUCAACGGAUUCGAUAGAGAUCUUAAUACGCGAGCUUGGAAGCGGCCGGUCAACUGUCAACAGGUGGCUCUUACCUAACCCAAUUCACACUGUCAACGUCAAGACAAAAUUAAACGUAAAUAUUGAAAAUUUAAUGGUAUUGAAAUAUGGGAAAAUUACGGGUACUUCUCUCGAAAGGUAUGGUACGACCUUACUGCGACGAAUGUGUAUCCUUCGUGGACCUGGAACCUUUUUAUACCCAUCGCAGGAAUUUGGAUGCCGACGACUCAGGAACAUCCUCGGAACCAAUCGUUGGAUAAAAAUGCAAUUGGGAAAACUUAAUGAAAAUAGAGUUUUUCCUCAUGAAAACGGUGAAAACAGCGGGAAAAAAGCUGGCCACAUGUGUACAAGAAAACCGGCUUUUCAGGAAAACCGCGGGAAACUGGAACAUGAUUUAUAUUACAUUUUGCAACACUUGGCAUGCCCCUUCAUUUAACAGGGCUUCCCAAGGUGAUACAAGUAUAGGUGAUUAUUUGACAAAAACUUAAAUUUAUUGGCAUUUUAUUCCGCCAAGAGCAUCUCAUUUUAGUGGACUAUGGGAGGCGGCAAUAAAAUCCUGUGGAAGCGAUUCUUAAUUCUCGCCCUUUGCUACCCUUAUCCGAUGAUCCUGAUGACCUUGAAUCCCUGACACCAUCCCACUUCCUGAUAGGACGAAAACUUACUUCCUUGCCACAAAGAGAUGUCGAGAAUAUGCCAGCUAACCGACUGACACAAUUUGACCGGCUUCAACAAUUGGUGCAACAUUUUUGGAGAAGGUGGCAUCGGG